UACAGAGGGUGCGAGCGUUGUCCGGAAUCACUGGGCGUAAAGGGCGCGUAGGCGGCCUGAUAAGUAGGGGGUGAAAUCCUGCGGCUCAACCGCAGGGCUGCCUUCUAAACUGUCAGGCUGGAGCACGGUAGAGGCAGAUGGAAUUCCCGGUGUAGCGGUGGAAUGCGUAGAGAUCGGGAAGAACACCAGUGGCGAAGGCGGUCUGCUGGGCCGUUGCUGACGCUGAGGCGCGACAGCGUGGGGAGCAAACAGG
rnacentral:rRNA from 1 species